GCAUAUCAAUAAGCGGAGGAAAAGAAACCAACAGGGAUUGCCUCAGUAACGGCGAGUGAAGCGGCAACAGCUCAAAUUUGAAAUCUGGCCGCAAGGUCCGAGUUGUAAUUUGUAGAGGAUGCUUUUGGCGAGGUGCCUUCCGAGUUCCCUGGAACGGGACGCCAUAGAGGGUGAGAGCCCCGUACGGUCGUGCCACCGAGCCUCUGUAAAGCUCCUUCGACGAGUCGAGUAGUUUGGGAAUGCUGCUCUAAAUGGGAGGUGUACGUCUUCUAAAGCUAAAUACCGGCCAGAGACCGAUAGCGCACAAGUAGAGUGAUCGAAAGAUGAAAAGCACUUUGAAAAGAGGGUUAAAAAGUACGUGAAAUUGUUGAAAGGGAAGCAUUCAUGACCAGACUUGGGCUUGGUUGAACAUCCGGCGUUCUCGCCGGUGCACUCUGCCAGCUCAGGCCAGCAUCAGUUUGCCCCGGGGGAUAAAGGCGGCGGGAAUGUGGCUCCCCUCGGGGAGUGUUAUAGCCCGUCGUGCAAUGCCCUGGGGCGGACUGAGGUUCGCGCUCGAGCAC
rnacentral:sRNA from 1 species